rnacentral:rRNA from 1 species
ACUCCUACGGGAGGCAGCAGUGGGGAAUAUUGCACAAUGGGCGCAAGCCUGAUGCAGCCAUGCCGCGUGUAUGAAGAAGGCCUUCGGGUUGUAAAGUACUUUCAGCAGUGAGGAAGGUGGAUGCGUUAAUAGCGUAUUCAUUUGACGUUAGCUGCAGAAGAAGCACCGGCUAACUCCGUGCCAGCAGCCGCGGUAAUACGGAGGGUGCGAGCGUUAAUCGGAAUUACUGGGCGUAAAGCGCAUGCAGGUGGUUUGUUAAGUCAGAUGUGAAAGCCCGGGGCUCAACCUCGGAAUUGCAUUUGAAACUGGCAGACUAGAGUACUGUAGAGGGGGUAGAAUUUCAGGUGUAGCGGUGAAAUGCGUAGAGAUCUGAAGGAAUACCGGUGGCGAAGGCGGCCCCCUGGACAGAUACUGACACUCAGAUGCGAAGCGUGGGGAGCAAACAGGAUUAGAUACCCUGGUAGGAUAGCG